rnacentral:rRNA from 1 species
CCUACGGGAGGCAGCAGUGAGGAAUAUUGGUCAAUGGGCGCGAGCCUGAACCAGCCAAGUCGCGUGAGGGAAGACGGUCCUAUGGAUUGUAAACUUCUUUUGUAGGGGAGCAAAAGACGCCACGCGUGCCGUUUCGAGAGUACUUGAAGAAAAAGCAUCGGCUAACUCCGUGCCAGCAGCCGCGGUAAUACGGAAGGUCCGGGCGUUAUCCGGAUUUAUUGGGUUUAAAGGGAGCGUAGGCCGGUCUUUAAGCGAGCCGUGAAAUUUUGGGGCUCAACCGUGAAAGUGCGGUGGAUACUGGCAGCCUUGAGUGCGCGGGAGGCAGGCGGAAUUCGUGGUGUAGCGGUGAAAUGCUUAGAUAUCACGAAGAACCCCGAUUGCGAAGGCAGCCUACUGCAGCGUUACUGACGCUGAAGCUCGAAAGCGCGGGUAUCGAACAGGAUUAGAUACCCCGGUAGUC